GUGGACGAGUUUGAAGAAGAAUGCAAACAAAAAUUCGAAGAGAAAGAAAAGAAAAGAAAAGAAGGCGGAGUCAAAAAGAGACGCAAAAAGAAUAACAAACUUGCAUACGCCAA
rnacentral:ribozyme from 1 species